rnacentral:rRNA from 1 species
UACGAAGGGGGCUAGCGUUGCUCGGAAUUACUGGGCGUAAAGCGCACGUAGGCGGAUUGUUAAGUCGGGGGUGAAAUCCUGGAGCUCAACUCCAGAACUGCCUUCGAUACUGGCGAUCUCGAGUUCGGGAGAGGUGAGUGGAACUGCGAGUGUAGAGGUGAAAUUCGUAGAUAUUCGCAAGAACACCAGUGGCGAAGGCGGCUCACUGGCCCGAUACUGACGCUGAGGUGCGAAAGCGUGGGGAGCAAACAGGG